rnacentral:rRNA from 1 species
AUUGAACGCUGGCGGCAGGCCUAACACAUGCAAGUCGAACGGUAACAGGAAACAGCUUGCUGUUUCGCUGACGAGUGGCGGACGGGUGAGUAAUGUCUGGGAAACUGCCUGAUGGAGGGGGAUAACUACUGGAAACGGUAGCUAAUACCGCAUAACGUCGCAAGACCAAAGAGGGGGACCCUCGGGCCUCUUGCCAUCGGAUGUGCCCAGAUGGGAUUAGCUUGUUGGUGGGGUAACGGCUCACCAAGGCGACGAUCCCUAGCUGGUCUGAGAGGAUGACCAGCCACACUGGAACUGAGACACGGUCCAGACUCCUACGGGAGGCAGCAGUGGGGAAUAUUGCACAAUGGGCGCAAGCCUGAUGCAGCCAUGCCGCGUGUAUGAAGAAGGCCUUCGAGUUGUAAAGUACUUUCAGCGGGGAGGAAGGGAGUAAAGUUAAUACCUUUGCUCAUUGACGUUACCCGCAGAAGAAGCACCGGCUAACUCCGUGCCAGCAGCCGCGGUAAUACGGAGGGUGCAAGCGUUAAUCGGAAUUACUGGGCGUAAAGCGCACGCAGGCGGUUUGUUAAGUCAGAUGUGAAAUCCCCGGGCUCAACCUGGGAACUGCAUCUGAUACUGGCAAGCUUGAGUCUCGUAGAGGGGGGUAGAAUUCCAGGUGUAGCGGUGAAAUGCGUAGAGAUCUGGAGGAAUACCGGUGGCGAAGGCGGCCCCCUGGACGAAGACUGACGCUCAGGUGCGAAAGCGUGGGGAGCAAACAGGAUUAGAUACCCUGGUAGUCCACGCCGUAAACGAUGUCGACUUGGAGGUUGUGCCCUUGAGGCGUGGCUUCCGGAGCUAACGCGUUAAGUCGACCGCCUGGGGAGUACGGCCGCAAGGUUAAAACUCAAAUGAAUUGACGGGGGCCCGCACAAGCGGUGGAGCAUGUGGUUUAAUUCGAUGCAACGCGAAGAACCUUACCUGGUCUUGACAUCCACGGAAGUUUUCAGAGAUGAGAAUGUGCCUUCGGGAACCGUGAGACAGGUGCUGCAUGGCUGUCGUCAGCUCGUGUUGUGAAAUGUUGGGUUAAGUCCCGCAACGAGCGCAACCCUUAUCCUUUGUUGCCAGCGGUCCGGCCGGGAACUCAAAGGAGACUGCCAGUGAUAAACUGGAGGAAGGUGGGGAUGACGUCAAGUCAUCAUGGCCCUUACGACCAGGGCUACACACGUGCUACAAUGGCGCAUACAAAGAGAAGCGACCUCGCGAGAGCAAGCGGACCACAUAAAGUGCGUCGUAGUCCGGAUUGGAGUCUGCAACUCGACUCCAUGCAGUCGGAAUCGCUAGUAAUCGUGGAUCAGAAUGCCACGGUGAAUACGUUCCCGGGCCU